rfam:Gaeumannomyces graminis var. tritici R3-111a-1 unplaced genomic scaffold supercont2.1, whole genome shotgun sequence.
GGGCGAAUGGUUUAGUGGUAUAACGCUUCCUUAGCAUCUGGAUGAUUCUCGAUCACAAAUCGUAGAGCAUUCGAUCUGAUUGGAAGAGGUCCGGGGUUCGAUUCCCCGUUUGUCCA